AUAAUGUUCAAAGAGCAUGUUGCAAAUUGAGGCACUAACCAAAGGAGCGAAGAUAAUGAUAGCUAUAACCCCUGAGUUUGCCUCACUUAUCAGAGUUUGGUUGUUGUAAUUGUCUUUGGAUCAGUGAAACUUAAUUUUAUAUUAUUUCUUAUUGCUAAAGCAUUCUUAUUUACUUAAUGUAGAAAUGUUCUGUGGGGACUAACAAUGGAGCUUGAGUCUGAGGCACUAUGAGUCCUAGACUUAUAAAUCAAGUUCAAGAGGACAGAUUUUGUGAUUUUUAUCCUAAAGGCAGAUAAGGUUUUUAACUAAAUAUCUUACUGAAAUGAAAACAUCAUACGUAUAAAAUGUACUUUGCUUUAGAGAUAAGCUAAUGUAGAAAAAAUUAGGGUUUAUCAGAAAAGGCAAAUGUUAUAUAUGUGUUUCAUGUGCAUGAUAAAUUGUACAUUUUGGCAGAAAAGGAGGCUACAACAUUUCACAGUGGAUAUAUUGCCUUGGGUUUUGAAGGUAUUUAAGGUUCUUUCAAUAAUGAUACUUUAACAUGUUAAAUAUAUGACUUAAUUUUAGGAAUUGGUUUACAUAGGACUUUUUAUGAAUAUAGCUCUUAUGUAAAGUGACAUACAAUUGUAUAAUUGUACUUAGCUAUUGUAGUAGAAAAGCUGGAAUAGUGUCUGUUAUCUAAAAUAUUUUCAUGUUAUCUCAUUUGAACCUCGUAAGCAGUUUUGAAAUAGAAAGGAACUGACACAUUUCCAUUUUUAGAGAGAUAGGACUCAUCAUGACUCUACUCUCAUGGCAGACUGCCUUUAGUGGAAGGAGGAGACCCCAUAGCAUUAACCAGUGCUUACUGGGUCAAGUCCUGCGUUCUCUUGGUCUAUUGCAGACUGGAGGUAGAUAGUUUAUAUUUAGGAAGAAAUAUUUAGGAAGAAAUAAGUAAACCCACAAUAAUGAAAAAAAUUACCUGUUCCCUCUGGUUUCCAAAAAUGUAAGAACAUGGAUUUGAGUAAGCUGAAUGUAUAUUAGUAUUUUAAGUUGGCACAAAAAUUAUAAAAUGGGCCCCACUCUUCUUAGUUGACCUUUUUAUGACUCUAAAAUCAUUAUUUUGUAACUAUGGUUAAAAUUUUGAAUCUCACAAGUAAGUUUAGCCUCAUUGUGAAUAUUUUAUUUUGUGAGUAUAAUUUAUUGUUUUAAAUUAAUUUUGAUAGAUAUGUUAGCACUUAAUCUGUAAAUUGAAUAAGUUAUUGAGUGCAGAAAUUUAUUAACUUACUGUCUCUGACUUAAUGCACCAAAGAUUUUGAGUAGGUAUUGAAUAGUUUAAACGAAUUUAAAUUCUUUGUUGUUUGACUAUAUAUUUGUCCAAAGAAGCACAGCUGAAGUUCUUGGAUACUGAAUUUUAAAAAUUGUUAGUUUGAAUACUGAGAUUAAGUAUUAAGUGUUUGUGUUUAUAUGUAUAAAAUAAGUAGAGGAAAAUACUCUGGGAACAUUCAUACUGACCACCCAGUUACAAGUGAGAGUACUCAUUUCUCUCCGUUUAGUUGAGUACAGUUUUUUAAUGAACACUAUUCAAUAAUUUUAUAUUUUACACUACAUUAUAAAAAUAAUUUCUGCCUUAGAGGUUUUUUGGUUUUGACAGCCUAAAAAUACCCCUUAACCCGUAGGGUUUGUUCCUCAUGCCAGCAAGAUACCUUCAUGCUACUACAAAAGUAGAAAUGUUUGCAGACUUUUAAUUUAGAACUUUACUGCUGGGCAAAGAGGAAUAAAAAAAUACCAUUUUAAACUGGUGCUUUAAUAAACUGACUGCCUUUUAAGUGAUGGUAACAUAAAAGAAGUACACUAAUUCCUUUCAACUUUAAAAAAGUGUCAAAACCACUUUAUGGAGUGACUAUAAAGUGUUAAGGGCCUAAUCAGUUCCACCCGUUGCUUUUCACUCAAUCCCAGGUUACCUAAACACAACUAACCUGGUACAUUUAUGAGCUGAAUGUUCUUCCUACAAUAUCACUCUAAUUUAUUAUUUAUCAAGAGGUUUUGAACAUUAGUUCUUUAAGAGUGUCCUUUUAGACCAUCUUUUCUGAUCAAAUACCUUUGUACUUUUUCAGAGAUGUGUAGUUAUGUAGCAUUUUUCUCUGUUGCCUAGAUUGUACUGGUAAAUAAAGGACUUGUUCCUUUUGUUU
rnacentral:lncRNA from 1 species